ACCUACGGGGCGCAGCAGUAGGGAAUCUUCCACAAUGGACGAAAGUCUGAUGGAGCAACGCCGCGUGAGUGAAGAAGGGUUUCGGCUCGUAAAGCCCUGUUGUUAGAGAAGAAAGUGCGUGAGAGUAACUGUUCACGUUUCGACGGUAUCUAACCAGAAAGCCACGGCUAACUACGUGCCAGCAGCCGCGGUAAUACGUAGGUGGCAAGCGUUGUCCGGAUUUAUUGGGCGUAAAGCGAGUGCAGGCGGUU
rnacentral:rRNA from 1 species